rnacentral:rRNA from 1 species
GAUGAACGCUGGCGGCGUGCCUAAUACAUGCAAGUCGAGCGAACAGACGAGGAGCUUGCUCCUCUGACGUUAGCGGCGGACGGGUGAGUAACACGUGGAUAACCUACCUAUAAGACUGGGAUAACUUCGGGAAACCGGAGCUAAUACCGGAUAAUAUAUUGACCCGCAUGGUUCAAUAGUGAAAGACGGUUUUGCUGUCACUUAUAGAUGGAUCCGCGCCGCAUUAGCUAGUUGGUAAGGUAACGGCUUAACAAGGCAACGAUGCGUAGCCGACCUGAGAGGGUGAUCAGCAACACGGGAGAGAAGACGAGGUCCAGAACUGGACGGGAGGCAGCGGUAGGAAAUCUUCAGCAAGGGGCGAAAGCCUGACGGAGCAACGCCGCGUGAGCGAUGAAGGUCUUCGGAGCGUAAAACUCUGUUAUUAGGGAAGAACAAAUGUGUAAGAAACGAUGCACGUCUGGACGGUACCGAAGCAGAAAGCCACGGCUAACUAGGU